GAUAAAAAUUAGUGGCAGACGGGUGAGUAAUGCAUAGGAAUCUACCUAGUAGUAUGGGAUAGCCACUAGAAAUGGUGGCUAAUACUGUAUAAUCCCUGCGGGGGAAAGAUUUAUCGCUAUUAGAUGAGCCUAUGUUAGAUUAGCUAGUUGGUAGGGUAAAGGCCUACCAAGGCAGAGAUCUAUAGCUGGUCUGAGAGGAUGAUCAGCCACACUGGAACUGACAUACGGUCCAGACUACUACGGGAGGCACAGUGGGGAAUAUUGGACAAUGGGCGCAAGCCUGAUCCAGCUAUGCCGCGUGAGUGAGGAAGGCCUUAGGGUUGUAAAACUCUUUCAGUGGGGAAGAUAAUGACGGUACCCACAGAAGAAGUCCCGGCAAACUCCGUGCCAGCAGCCGCGGUAAUACGGAGGGGGCAAGCGUUGUUCGGAAUUAUUGGGCGUAAAGGGCAUGUAGGCGGUUCGGUAAGUUAAAGGUGAAA
rnacentral:rRNA from 1 species